rnacentral:misc_RNA from 1 species
UGUGGGAGCUGGCUUGCCAGCGAUGGGGCCAUCAGUCGGAAAGUCAAUUCGCCUGCUGAACCGCUAUCGCUGGCAAGCCAGCUCCCACA